rnacentral:misc_RNA from 1 species
CGUUUUAGAAACAUCAGUGGCCAACAGAUCGCCAGAUCGUUGAGCUGCAUUGGCGGGAUUUCGCCGUCUUCGUUUCUCUUUCUUCGCGGACGAACACGCGCUGGGCCUGCAACGGCAGGAUCCAGGGUCCUUAACGGGAUGUGCGUUAGGGGCUUGUAGCUCAGUUGGUUAGAGCGCGCGCUUGAUAAGCGUGAGGUCGGAAGUUCAAGUCUUCCCAGGCCCACCACUUUCAUCGAGUGAGCAUUCGUCUUCUGGUUACGGGGCCAUAGCUCAGCUGGGAGAGCGCGUGCUUUGCAAGCAUGAGGUCGUCGGUUCGAUCCCGUCUGGCUCCACCAGAUGGUUUGAUCACCGAGAUCUUGACCGUCGUCCGCGAAACAUCACUUCGCAUCCUGCUAGUCUGGAUAGACAGCAGUUUGCGUGUUUUCUGACAUCGUAAAGAGGAGAUCGAUCCGAGUUGGGUCGUGCAGCAUAUCGUUGCGCGAGCCUUCAUUAUCUCCGGAUCAUUUCGGCGCUCGCUUCCAGCCGUGAGGUUGGAUGCGGGUUGUAAAUGAUCCUUUUAGCGAAGCUUGACCGCCUCGCUAUCGGAACGAUCUUACGAAGCAAGCUGGUCUUUCUAGUCAAUGUCCGGCUGCGGAUAGCGUUCAUCGAGGGCGCGUGCCGCAAGGCAAUUCUGCAGACAACAUUCUGCCGAGUGUGUGGACAUUGAUAAUGAGAGCAAUCAAGUGCCUUAAGGGUGUUCGGUGGAUGCCUUGGCGCUGAGAGGCGAUGAAGGACGUGCUACGCUGCGAUAAGCCGUGGGGAGCUGCGAAGAAGCUUUGAUCC